rnacentral:rRNA from 1 species
UACGUAGGGGGCUAGCGUUGUCCGGAAUCAUUGGGCGUAAAGCGCGUGUAGGCGGUCCGGUAAGUCCGCUGUGAAAGUCGGGGGCUCAACCCUCGGAUGCCGGUGGAUACUGUCGGGCUUGAGUACGGAAGAGGCGAGUGGAAUUCAUGGUGUAGCGGUGAAAUGCGCAGAUAUCAGGAGGAACACCAAUUGCGAAGGCAGCUCGCUGGGACGUUACUGACGCUGAGACGCGAAAGCGUGGGGAGCAAACAGG